GUUUCUUAAGGCUUUUCCUGCUCUUCUGUGCCCUCUAUUUGAUCAUCUGCCAAGGCCUAUGAAUAGUGCCAAAUCAAACAGCACAGCGUCUCUAUAAGUCUGCUCUUGGAAGCUAAGGAAUUCAGCAGUUGGAGUGCAAUGCCAGAUAUAAAAGAAGCAAUUAUAGUGGACUGCCAGGAGUUUAGGUUCUGAAGUUCUGUAAAAACUUUGAAGCCUGUUUCUACUAGCACUGAAAACUGAAGUUCAUCUGUGAAACAGAACCUUUGCAGAGAAGGAACUACAGCAGUUUUGGAGUACAGGAGACCACCUUCAUCUUUGAGCAUGAAAAGGACUCUACCCUGGAGUCUAGAGAGCCAGAGUCCACUGAUACCAAUUUAACACAAACAGCAUGCUUAAAUUCCACACGAAGGGACAGGGAAAAUCCAAUUAAACCUGGAAGUUGAUUACAGCAUGGCAAGAUUAGCAAAGAAAUGGGAAAAGUCCAUCUAGAUUUUACUGCCUUUCCUUGUAAAGACUCUUUUUGAUUUUAUGUGUAAUUGCAAAAUACAUGUAGGAUGAAAUUUUAAAAGAUGGUUAAAUAAAGGAAAUAGUUUCAUAAGGAUUUCAUUUCAGAAAAGGAAUUAUUAAGCUGUCAUUGGCUAUAUACAGAGUUUGAUUUCAGGGUCCGUGUAACAAUACUGUAUUUGUAAAAACAACAGAAGCUUAGUUUUAGGAUGGAAUGGGAUAAAGUGUUAUUUUAGGAAGGGAAUGAUACUCAAAAAUUGAAAUUGAGUUGAAGAAAACAAUACACGAUGUGUGUGGCACUGAGUGAAGUUAGUGGAAACCAAUGUCUUUCAGUAAAAAAUAUGACCCAUUAAUCUGAAAGAGGGCAAGAUUAGAACUGUGCACAUAAAGCAGUGGUGUAAAUGCAAAUAGUAAUCUAAAUGAUAA
ensembl:lncRNA